UGGGGAAUAUUGGACAAUGGGCGAAAGCCUGAUCCAGUCAUGCCGCGUGAGUGAUGAAGGCCCUAGGGUUGUAAAGCUCUUUCACCGGUGAAGAUAAUGACGGUAACCGGAGAAGAAGCCCCGGCUAACUUCGUGCCAGCAGCCGCGGUAAUGUGUAGGGGGCUAGCGUUGUUCGGAAUUACUGGGCGUAAAGCGCACGUAGGCGGAUAUUUAAGUCAGGGGUGAAAUCCCGGGGCUCAACCCCGGAACUGCCUUUGAUACUGGGUAUCUAGAUUAUGGUAGAGGUGAGUGGAAUUCCGAGUGUAGAGGUGAAAGUCGUAGAUAUUCGGAGGAACACCAGUGGCGAAGGCGGCUAACUGGACCAUUACUGACGCUGAGGUGCGAAAGCG
rnacentral:rRNA from 1 species